AGUUUAGGAAACAAAACGAAAGAACCUUAACUACACACAGUUGACCAGAUCCAAAGUUACGAAAACACCCUCGCGUAUUCAAUCAACCCUAUAUCCUUUAUCUCUCUCUCCAUCGACGACGCGCACGAACUGAUCCCAGAUUCGUUUUCUUGAUCGGAGAGCUGCCAUGGAACGCAUCAUCGGCGGCAAGUACAAGCUCGGACGCAAGAUCGGCGGCGGCUCCUUCGGAGAGAUUUAUCUAGCUACUCACGUCGAUUCGUUCGAGAUCGUAGCGGUUAAGAUCGAGAAUAGCAAGACGAAGCAUCCUCAGCUUCUUUACGAAGCCAAGCUAUACAGAGUUCUCGAAGGAGGAAGUGGGAUUCCGCGGAUUAAGUGGUUUGGUGUUGAUGGGACGGAGAAUGCUUUAGUGAUGGAUUUGCUUGGACCAAGUCUUGAGGAUUUGUUUGUGUAUUGUGGGAGGAAGUUUUCUCCCAAGACUGUGUUGCUCUUGGCUGACCAAAUGCUAACGAGGAUAGAGUAUGUACACUCCAAAGGAUAUCUGCAUAGAGAUAUCAAACCUGAUAACUUCCUCAUGGGCUUAGGGAGGAAAGCUAAUCAGGUUUAUCUAAUUGACUUUGGACUUGCCAAGAGAUAUCGUGAUGCCAACACCAACCGUCACAUCCCUUACAGGGAGAACAAGAAUUUAACAGGGACUGCACGGUAUGCAAGUUGCAAUACUCAUCUUGGAAUUGAGCAGAGUCGACGGGAUGAUCUAGAAUCUCUUGGAUAUGUGCUUCUGUAUUUCUUGAGAGGAAGUCUUCCAUGGCAGGGUCUUAAGGCUAUUGACAAGAAGCAAAAGUAUGACAAAAUUUGCGAGAAGAAGAUCUCAACUCCUAUUGAGGUUCUAUGCAAAGGUCACCCUGUGGAGUUUGCUUCAUAUUUCCAUUACUGCCACACGCUGACAUUUGAUCAGCGCCCUGAUUAUGGAUUCUUGAAGCGGCUUUUUCGUGAUUUAUUCUCACGGGAAGGAUAUGAAAUGGACUAUAUAUUUGACUGGACUAUAAUAAAGUAUCAACAAGCACAGAAAACUAGAAAUCAGUCUCAGGCAGUUCCUGGGUCUAGCAAUACUCGUGCGACGCCAAUGGACACAAGCAAUCAUCGAGGGGGACCAAAUAUUCCUUAUGAAGCCGACGUCUCUGAGCGUGUCAGAUCGGGUAAGGCCAUUGGUCCAAGCCCACAGAUAAAUAACAAUCCUGCUACAGGGAGGACUCUGGGUUUUGAUCAGCCCGUCCACAAGAAUGUGAACAUGCCAUCCACUUCACUAUCUCCUGCGGGUACCUCAAAAAGAAACGUCGGACAAUCAGGUUUCCCUCCGGAAACCUCAAAUGCUGGGUAUGAAAGCGGGAAAAGAACCGGAGGCUGGACUUCAUCAUUCAUGUCUCCAGACAAAUGAUGCAAAGAAAACAAAACAUUGUCUGAGAUGGUGAGCUAUUAAUGUGAGUCAUGCCCUUGGAAGAUUAAAAAAGGUGUUAGUGACACCAAGUUCUGAUUUCUGCUGUAUAUUAUCUGAGAUGUGUGUGGACAGGCAGCUAUAGAGGAUGGUGUUUUUCCAUGAACACAUUCGUGUUACACACACACAAAGACAUGAAGUAAAUCCAGAGCCAAGCUUCAGAGGCUUUAGGAGCUGUCCUCAGAGGCUUUAGGAGAGAGCACACGUUUCUCCUUUUCUUAAUGACAUAGGUUUCAGAGGAAGAUGUUGACAGACAACAUGGGGUUCUUAAAUUCAAAGAUAGCGACUGAGCAGUUGAAUCUGAACAAGAACAAAAAAACAAAUAUGUCAAAGAGAGCUCAUGAAGCCAGGCAAAAAAAAGGUCGAGUCACGCAUUGGUUUCGGUACAACCGGCCUGUGUUUCUGCCGUAUCCGACUGCUUGGUUUGUUGCGGUCUUUAGCAAAAUCAUCAUCAUCCACCAUCAUAUCUAUCAUCCAUGAGGUAGGUGAAGGUUGUAUCUGCAGCCUCAGUGGAAACAAUACCUCAGGCCGUGAGAGAGGAUCUAAUUGUGUAACAUGAUGUGUUUGUGUUAUGUUUGGCUUAUGAUGUUUUUUUUGUAAUUUAGUCAUUAGUGUAUUAUAUAUACUCUUCAAAAUACA